GAUGAAGAACGCAGCGAAAUGCGAUAAGUAAUGUGAAUUGCAGAAUUCAGUGAAUCAUCGAGUCUUUGAACGCACAUUGCGCCCCCUGGUAUUCCGGGGGGCAUGCCUGUCCGAGCGUCAUUGCUGCCCUCAAGCACGGCUUGUGUGUUGGGCCCCCGUCCCCGGUUUCCCCCGGGGACGGGCCCGAAAGGCAGCGGCGGCACCGCGUCCGGUCCUCGAGCGUAUGGGGCUUUGUCACCCGCUCUGUAGGCCCGGCCGGCGCCAGCCGACACCCAACUUUAUUUCUAAGGUUGACCUCGGAUCAGGUAGGGAUACCCGCUGAACUUAAGCAUAUCAAUAAGCGGGGA
rnacentral:misc_RNA from 1 species